GGUACCAUAAAAGGCCCUGGCAAACGAUUUUCAGAAUUUUCCACACAAAGAUAUGAAUACAAUUCUACUGGUGUAUGGCCAGCCUAAGUCAGGUUUCACUGUUGUAUGUGAGAGAUUCUGCUGACUUCCUGUCCCCAUGACAACGAAGAAGGUACCAACAGGCAUGGGAAGACAGCUGGAUCUAGUGACCAACUAGCAUUGAGAUACUGCAGCUCAUCAACAAAUUUUCCAACAGCCUCCAAAAAAAAGGCACUGGGAUUUAUACAUUCACAUCUCCGCCAAUGUCUUCCAUAACAAAAACAAGGGUUAUGGACUGUUCGUAUUUUGUUGGUACCUGGGGAAGGCUAGAUUGCUCUUGCAUGUCAAAUUGCCCAUUGUGUUAUAUGGGCACCUUUAUGUUUAGAUGGACUCUUGAAAUUAGAACUGCAGAUAAGGCAGAACAUUGAGUAAUAACCAUGUGAAGUAAAACUCUAUACCUGUUUGUGCUUGCUUUGUUUUUGAAAUGACCAUUUAGAAGGAAAAUGUAUGUGCUAAAACAUUUUUGAUCUGUAAUAAGACAUGAAUCCUCCCUGCAACAUGAUGCUGCUCCUGUGUAGUAAUAACCCCUAUCCACUCUAGAAAGUGUAGAUAAUGUGACAUUGGUCCCCUCUUCUCAAAACAACAGCCACCAUGUUUUUUAUGAAUAUCCAACUGCCAAGACCGUUAAGUUCAGGGGACAUGUACAGCUCAUAAAGAAAUAUCAAUGAAUACAUAACCUGAUAUUA